rnacentral:lncRNA from 1 species
CCCUCUUUCUCCUCCCAUCUCUUCCCUCCUCCUCUUCCACUCUCCUUCCUUCCUUGCUCUUUCUUUCCUUCCUUUCCUCUUUCUUUCCUUCCUUUCCUCCUUCUUUUCCUCCUUCCUUUCCUCCUUCCUUCCUUUCUUUCUUUCUCCCUUUCCCUUUCCUUUCCUUUCCUUUCCUUUCCUUUCCUUUCCUUUCCUUUCCUUUCCUUUCCUUUCCUUUCCUUUCCUUUCCUUUCCUUUCCUUUCCUUUCCUUUCCUUCUUAGAACUGAUACUAAGAAUGGGUUACAAGAAGAGUAAUAAAAGGACUUCAGCAAUUGGAGCCAAGUAACUUACCUAGAGUCUCACAGCUAGGAAGUGAAUGAAACCACAUUUGAACCAAGGACUUCCUAUCUUCAGGCAUGGUUCUCUAAACACAGAGCCACCUGGCUGCCCAAAAUUGAUCUUUGUCUUUUAAUAUGAAGGCCAGAAUUGAAUGACCCCCCAGCUUAAGACUUAGUGGAAAAAUCUGUAUAAUGUCAAUAAUAUGUAUAGGACCU